rnacentral:rRNA from 1 species
GACAUAGGUCGCAAACGUUAUCCGGAAUUAUUGGGCGUAAAGGAUGCGUAGAUGGUUCAGUAAGUUACUGGUGGGAAAUCGAGGCCCAACCUCGUGGAAGUUAGUAAUACUGUUGAACUUGAGUGCAGGAGAGGUUAACGGAACUUCAUGUGGAGCGGUAAAAUGCGUAGAUAUAUGAAAGAACAUAAAUAUAGCGAAGGCAGUUAACUAUUCUGCUACUGACAUUGAGGCAUGAAAGCGUGGGGAGCAAAACGG